UUUUGGUUCGGUAAUAAAUAUCUUAAAUAUUUAUGAUCAAUAAAUAAAAAUAUAAUUUAUUUUUUUUUAUUUCUACCAAAAAGUAAUCGUGUUAAACUUGGUUACCUAAAUCAAUUAUUAUUUAUUUGGUAGUUAUACAUUAUUUUCUAACUGGAUGUAAGAAAACCAAUGAUGCCAAGAAAGCCUUUUAAGCCAAAAAAAAAAAAAUAGACGUCUGAAACAAAUAGCUUAUGAUGUACCACUUCAACAAGUUUCUUCAUUUUCGGUUCCGUCAAGACAAAAUACAACAGCUGUUAUUAUUAGUGAUAACACUAAAAUUGAUUCUGAUCAAGAUGGUUCAACAGCGGCGAAAUGCUGACGGAAAAACAUAUUCGGACUGUUCUAGGAUAUAUUUUAACGGAUGACUUCUGUUGCAAAUUAUCCUGGAGUGGUCAAAAAAAACCAUAAAGGUAGAAGAUGUGUCAUUUGUGAAGUAUUUAAGAGAAACGGUGGCUGCUUCCAACUCACGAUGUUCCAUUGAUGAUUGCAAGCAAGCAAUUAUGUCUUGGCUGCAACAUGCGAGUGAUCGAGUCAAAAAAAUCUAGUGACAAACACAGCACUCAAUAAUUUUUCAGUUUUUUUUUUUUUCUUAAUGUUAAAGUGUCCUUAAUUAUUCUACU